rnacentral:rRNA from 1 species
GUGGGGAAUAUUGCGCAAUGGGGGAAACCCUGACGCAGCGACGCCGUGUGAGGGAAGAAGGCUUUCGGGUCGUAAACCUCUGUCAGAAAGGAAGAACCUCCCAAGUCCGAAUAGGGCUUGGGACUGACGGUACUUUCAAAGGAAGCACCGGCUAACUCCGUGCCAGCAGCCGCGGUAAUACGGAGGGUGCACGCGUUAAUCGGAAUCACUGGGCGUAAAGCGCGCGUAGGCCGCUUUGUAAGUCGGACGUGAAAGCCCUCGGCUCAAGGGGGGACCUGCGUUCGAUACUGCGAGGCUUGAGUCCUGGAGAGGGUGGCGGAAUUCCGGGUGUAGGAGUGAAAUCCGUAGAUAUCCGGAGGAACACCGGUGGCGCAGGCGGCCACCUGGACAGGUACUGACGCUGAAGCGCGAAAGCGUGGGGAGCAAACAGGAUUAGAAACCCUUGUAGUCC